rnacentral:rRNA from 1 species
CAGUAGCCGCGGUAAUACGAAGGGGGCUAGCGUUGUUCGGAAUUACUGGGCGUAAAGCGCACGUAGGCGGAUAUUUAAGUCAGGGGUGAAAUCCCGCAGCUCAACUGCGGAACUGCCUUUGAUACUGGGUAUCUUGAGUAUGGAAGAGGUUAGUGGAAUUGCGAGUGUAGAGGUGAAAUUCGUAGAUAUUCGCAGGAACACCAGUGGCGAAGGCGGCUAACUGGUCCAUAACUGACGCUGAGGUGCGAAAGCGUGGGGAGCAAACAGGAUUAGAUACCCCAGUAGUCCCUGUCUCUUAUAA